AGAUGAAACACCAAAGGCCAUCAGUCCCGUGGCAGCUGGCAGCUUGGGGCAGCUACACUGGUAGACACUUCCAGCCUCACAGCUGGGCCAAGGGGGCACCCCAAAUCCAGGGUCAGAGAGGAAACAGGGUGAGCAGACAGCUGACUGACCAGUUAUCCUCAAUGGGGGGAUUAAAAUACUACCGACAUCACUCUGUCAAAGACUACUUUCUGAGUCACAUAUUACAGUUGUUUUUACAAGAGGGUGAAUAGUUUUUGAUGACGGCUGAAUAAGAAUGGAGCUUCUUCAAAAAAUUACGUAGAGUCCGUAGUCUGAAUAUUCUGCUUCAUGAAAGACAUCAAACUAAGGAACAGCAGACACUCUUGCUAAACUCUGACCGACAGCAGACACUGUUCAGUACGAGUGUCUUUCCGACAAGGGGAGACGCGGACGAAGGCGCACCGGAGACCUCUGCGAACACAAGCAUCUCACCUGCUCUGCUUUCCAGGCUGCUCACGGCUGAGCUGUUGGCAUGUGGGGGCUACUGACACACGACCAUCUUCUGCCAGAACUGCUGCAACCACCAGUGGUCUCCUUUGUCCCCGGCUCUCCUCUUCCUUGUGCUUCACUCUGCUGCCGGCGUCUGUCUUGUCUUCUGCUGAAAACCUGACGGUGGCUGCCUGCAGUCUACAGCCUCAGGACCCAUGCUCCUGCAGCACUGGGCCACCUGCCUUUCUUAGAACCUGCUGCCACGGAGUCAAAUACCCCUCUGCUUCUGCGCUUCUGCCAUUCCAUUAGCAAAGAGCACAAUGUCCCACCACGACGGAAAAUCAACCACCAGAGACAUCCCAAAACCACGCACCCCAGGUCGCCUCCCCUGAUCUUCAGGCCAGAAUGAGGUGCUCUAAACCCCCAGGACAUGCGAGUUCAGCUCUGCUUCCAUUCCCCCAGCAUCUGAGUUCAUCACUGAACAGUGCUUCCAAACUUCUGUGUGCAUUCACAUCAUCUGGAUAUCUUCUAAAAACGCAGAUUCCAAUCCUAUAGGUCUGGGCUGCAUUUGUAACAAGGUCCUGGUGUGAUGCUGACUCUGCUCUUACAGAGACCACACCUGAGUAGCCAGGUGCUGGCAUGCAAGCGCUUCACGGGCAGAGUCCG